GAUGAACGCUGGCGGCGUGCUUAACACAUGCAAGUCGAACGGGAUCCAAGGGGUGCUUGCACUUUUUCGUGUGAGUGGCGAAUGGGUGAGUAACACGUGAGUAACCUGCCCCUUUCUUUUGGAUACGCAUUCGUAAGGGUGUUUAAUACUUUAUGUUCCUUCUGCCUCGCAUGGGGUGGGUGGGUAAGGCUUUGGCCGGUUUUGGGUGGGCUUGCAGUCUUUUAGCUUGUGUGGGGGGUGAUGGCUGACCUGGGCUUUGACGGGUAGCCGGGCUGAGAGGGUGGGCGGGCACAUUGGGACUGAGAGACGGUCCAGACUCCUGCGGAAGGCAGCAGUGGGGAAUAUUGCACAAUGGGCGAAAGCCGGAUGCAGCGACGCCGCGUGGGGGAUGGAGGCGGUCGGGUUGUAAACGUCUUUUGCUCUGUACAAGGCAUGCCGGUGGGUGUGUGGAGUGUAGGGGUUGAUUAGCGCCGGCUAACUACGUG
rnacentral:rRNA from 1 species